CCCGCUGAACUUAAGCAUAUCAAUAAGCGGAGGAAAAGAAACUAACAAGGAUUCCCCUAGUAACGGCGAGUGAAGCGGGAUGAGCUCAAAUUUAAAAUCUGGUAGUCUUUGGCUGCCCGAGUUGUAAUCUAGAGAAGUGUUUUCCGCGCUGGACUGUGUACAAGUUUCCUGGAUAUGGAACAUCAUAGAGGGUGAGAAUCCCGUCCUUGACACAGACUCCCAGUGCUUUGUGAUGCGCUCUCGACGAGUCGAGUUGUUUGGGAAUGCAGCUCUAAAUGGGAGGUAAAUUUCUUCUAAAGCUAAAUACUGGCCAGAGACCGAUAGCGCACAAGUAGAGUGAUCGAAAGAUGAAAAGCACUUUGGAAAGAGAGUCAAAUAGCACGUGAAAUUGUUGAAAGGGAAGCGCUUGCAGCCAGACUUGCCUGUAGUUGCUCAUCCGGGCUUUUUGCCCGGUGCAUUCUUCUGUAGGCAGGCCAGCAUCAGUUUGGGCGGUUGGAUAAAGGUCUCUGUCAUGUACCUCCUUUCGGGGAGGCCUUAUAGGGGAGGCGACAUGCAACCAGCCUGGACUGAGGUCCGCGCAUCUGCUAGGAUGCUGGCGUAAUGGCUGUAAGCGGCCCGUCUUGAAACACGG
rnacentral:rRNA from 1 species